ensembl:lncRNA
GUUCUCAACUGGCCUACCUGGUUAAAUAAAGGUGUGGUGGUGAGCCAGACGACGGCUCCGAUGCUCGGUCUUUCUGUGAUGAACACCACAUUCAUUGAGAAUGUGACAGACACAACCACAUUCAGUGAGACCCCUACAGUCAGUGAGACCCCUACAGUCAGUGAGACCCCUACAUUCAAUGAGGAAGUGACAGCAUCCCCCCAUAUGAUCCUCAGCACCACGUCCCCAGGCUGCUCUGCCCUCUGUGAGGCCUGUGUCCCAGGGUCCUACUCCGACAAAGACACCCUCCUGUGUUCCUGCUGCCGUGAGCCAGGGUUGUGUCUGUUCACUGAGGCUUGCCUCCCAUGUUCCAGAGGGUUCUUUCAGAGUCUGGCUGGACAACAGCGAUGUCUGCCCUGCAGCCAGGGUUUUUACACCAAUUUCACCGGCAGCACUGUGUGUCAGUCCUGCCCCGCAGGCUCCUACAGCAACAACACAGGCUCCGACUCCUGCCAAAGUUGUUCUCCAGGUUUCUAUAUGUCUCAACAAAAUGCCACAUUGUGCAGUCCAUGUCAACGAGGAACAUUCUGCAACUCCUCCAGUUGUGCUCUGUGCCAGAUCUGUCCUGCUGGUACAGAGUCCCUCCAGGCUGCUGCCAAGGAGUGCACACCUUGUCGUCCAGGCCUGCACAAGGCUCCCCGUCAGAGUAUGUGUCAAAUCUGCAGCAGCGGCUUCUUCCAGAUCCACUGGGGCCAGGAGACCUGUAACCUCUGCCCCGAAAACCACUACUGCCCAAGUCCAGACGUGAACCCCAUCCGGUGCCCUGGCGUUGCCUUCUGUCCUGAAGGCAGCACUGCUCCAGGUUACUGCAUGGAGACCUUCUUCCGCAAGGCAGGGGAGAACUGCGAGCUGGCCCCUAUCACCAUUGCUCUACUUGUCAUUGGAGGAGGGGUGGCCCUACUCUUUGUCAUCCUACUGGUGUUGUGUCGAAUGCGAGACACAGGUGGAGAGCUUUCCCUCGCGCGACAAUUUCUGUUAACCAAAGAGAGGCCGCAAGGUGUAUACUACGGGAUCCCAUGUGACGCCGAGCCAGUAUAUGCUGGUUGGUGAACAUGUCCCCACCCUCAUCUGAUACUUCCUAUUAUUGGGGUGAAAUGUCUGGCUUUUAGAGCAGAAUCAAGGGAAGUCUAUGUGCCUCAGUUGUGGACUAAUGGACCAUAAGAGAAAGCAGACACCAAAUCCUAGCCAUGGUUUACCGAAUGUCCA